GAUGGGGCAUCGCAUGUAGCAAUACUGGCCGGCGACCGACAAACGGGUGCGGAACACGUACGCAACCUUCCUUUAAGCGGGGAAUAGCCCAGAGAAAUUUGGAUUAAUACCCCAUAGGAAUGUGGUCUCGCAUGAGACAGCAUUUAAAGAUUUAUCACUUAAAGAUGGGCGUGCGUCUGAUUAGGUAGUUGGUGAGGUAACGGCUCACCAAGCCAACGAUCAGUAACUGGCGUGAGAGCGCGACCAGUCACACGGGCACUGAGACACGGGCCCGACUCCUACGGGAGGCAGCAGUAAGGAAUAUUGGUCAAUGGACGGAAGUCUGAACCAGCCAUGCCGCGUGGAGGAUGAAGGCCCUCUGGGUUGUAAACUUCUUUUAUCUGGGACGAAACACUUCUUAUCUAAGGAGCUUGACGGUACCAGAGGAAUAAGCACCGGCUAACUCCGUG
rnacentral:rRNA from 1 species